UGGGGAAUUUUGGACAAUGGGCGAAAGCCUGAUCCAGCAAUGCCGCGUGUGUGAGGAAGGCCUUCGGGUUGUAAAGCACUUUUGUCCGGAAAGAAAUCCUUGGCUCUAAUACAGUCGGGGGAUGACGGUACCGGAAGAAUAAGCACCGGCUAACUACGUGCCAGCAGCCGCGGUAAUACGUAGGGUGCAAGCGUUAAUCGGAAUUACUGGGCGUAAAGCGUGCGCAGGCGGUUUGCUAAGACCGAUGUGAAAUCCCCGGGCUCAACCUGGGAACUGCAUUGGUGACUGGCAGGCUAGAGUAUGGCAGAGGGGGGUAGAAUUCCACGUGUAGCAGUGAAAUGCGUAGAGAUGUGGAGGAAUACCGAUGGCGAAGGCAGCCCCCUGGGCCAAUACUGAACGCUCAUGCACGAAAGCGUGGGGGAGCAAAACAGGAUUAGAUACCCUGGUAGUCCACGCCCUAAAACGAUGUCAACUAGUUGUUGGGGGAUUCAUUUCCUUAGUAACGUAGCUAACGCGUGAAGUUGACCGCCUGGGGAGUACGGUCGCAAGAUUAAAACUCAAAUGAAUUGACGGGGUCAUAGCUGUUUCCU
rnacentral:rRNA from 1 species